AUUGAACGCUGGCGGCAUGCUUUACACAUGCAAGUCGAACGGCAGCGCGGGCUUCGGCCUGGCGGCGAGUGGCGAACGGGUGAGUAAUACAUCGGAACGUGCCCAGUAGUGGGGGAUAGCUCGGCGAAAGCCGGAUUAAUACCGCAUACGACCUGAGGGUGAAAGCGGGGAUCUUUGGGCCUCGCGCCUUUGGGGCGGCCGAUGGCAGAUUAGCUAGUUGGUGGGGUAAAGGCCUACCAAGGCGACGAUCUGUAGCUGGUCUGAGAGGACGACCAGCCACACUGGGACUGAGACACGGCCCAGACUCCUACGGGAGGCAGCAGUGGGGAAUUUUGGACAAUGGGCGAAAGCCUGAUCCAGCAAUGCCGCGUGUGUGAUGAAGGCCUUCGGGUUGUAAAGCACUUUUGGCGGGAACGAAAAGGACUGUGCCAAUACCACGGUUCGAUGACGGUACCCGCAGAAUAAGCACCGGCUAACUACGUG
rnacentral:rRNA from 1 species